CUCCCGGCCCGCUCUGAAGCCACAACGGCCGCCAUGUUGACUAUGGGAACGGAACGGCCUUUCCAGCCAGACCAAAUGACUGGAGGCUAGCGAGGCAGUUCUGGGGCGUGAAGCCUGAGAGAGGCCAUGUCUAGUGUGGGCUCGUCUACUAGCACUAAGCAGCGGAACAGCGGACCCCCAGCUGUGGCCCUCUGGCUUUGCUGAUCGGAUGGCAAGAUAUCCGAAGAAGAAGGUAUCCCUUCCACUGGCUCUCUUGGUACCUUUCAGCCAUGACACUGACUUGACCACACUGGAAUUCAGUUUCCAGUCUGUCACCUUCACUUCAACCUAGAAGACGCCCGUGCCCUCAGUGAGUACUCAGUAAGAAACUAGCCAGGAUUGAACCUGAUUACUGUUUGGACGGAAGAAAGGCCAAGCAGAUGCUCCUACCUGGAUUUUGGCUCUGGAAGUGUUGACACAAGUUCAGUUGGAGGUAAUGCAGCAAGUCUAGAUGUCCGCCCAAAGCCUCAUGUGGUCAUAGGCAGCUGAAUCAAGACUGUGUGAUGCUGGGAUUGAGGGUGGGUGAUUACUAAAUCAGUCCACUGAUUGGUUUGGCACCACCCUAAUCCCAGUACCUGGAUACAAUAUGAGGGACAGAAAGAGGCUUGACUUCUCCCUUGUUGCUUCUGCUACUGUGUGAGCACCAUGAACUGCCAUCCUCUGCCAUACCACCCUGCCUUGGAGCCAGGACUGAAACCUCUACAAACUGGGACCUAAAUAAACCUUUCCCUCUGUAAUUUGGGGGGUAUUUUGUCUCAACAACAAGAGAAAAGACUUUAUUUUUGCAUGAGAAAUGAGGUAGGGGUCUACCAUGGUUUGGAUAUCAUUCGUCCCCACCAAAACUUGUGUUGAAGUUUGGUUCCUGUGUGGCAGUGUCAGGAGAACCAUCAGGGAAGCUGGACACUUGCAGCUCUCAUCAAGGUUGGCACCACCACCAAACAGGCUGGCCACACUGAUUUGCUCCUGGUUUACUGUGUCCACUACGAGGACUGUUGGAUCUUUUCUGCUUGUCUCUGAACUUUUGCUGUCACACCUUUAAACUCAAAGUAGAAGUGUCCACUGGAUAGGAAUAGGCCCUAGGCUGGUCAGUAACCUCAGAAGUAGGAGAGGAUGCAUCCUCUCCUUCCAGCUUCUAUAGGGGGAAGCAGAGCUGCCUCCUGUCUUCCUUGAGGUCUGCCUGAAAGGAAGAUUAUUCAGUGCUGGACAGCCAAAAAUGACAAACAUCCACUAUAACCCGCUCCUGUGUAGUGUCAUAUUGAUAGCAUUAAAUACAUUGCUUUACCUAUUUACUACAAUUUAUCAUAAAUUUUUAUAUCUAUAUUUAUAAUAAGGCCAGCAUUAGUGUGUGUGCAUGUGUGUGUGUGUGUGUGUGUGUGUACUAUCUUUGUCAGGUUUUGGUUUUACCAGCUUUUUUAAAAAAAUUAUGAAGUACCUCUAUUUUCUUUAGCGUCUAAUUUCAAUGAUGUGUUUUCAAAUGUUGAAAGAAAUUACCCUUUGGACCUAGUAUGUGAUGGGGGAGGGCCAGUUCUUUGAAAUAGUUUUUAAUUUUCAUCCCUGAAUAUUUUCAUCCCUCAUUAAUUUUAGUCCUUUUAUUUUCCCAGGAAAUUGCCCAUAUUUUCCAAUUUGUUAGUAAAAUCUUGCAGUGAACUUUGUGAAAGUUGCAUUGUUUCUUAAUAGAACCACACGGGUGUGUUAAACAUAUUCCUCAAGUUGUGAUUGUGGUGCAGAAUGUUAGCCUCCCCUGUUCUGUACAUUCGCUCUUUCCAAAGAUGUUCACUGAGUGUCU
ensembl:lncRNA